rnacentral:rRNA from 1 species
CCUACGGGUGGCAGCAGUGGGGAAUAUUGCACAAUGGGGGGAACCCUGAUGCAGCGACGCCGCGUGGGUGAAGGAGUACUUCGGUACGUAAAGCCCUAUCAGCAGGAAAGAAAAUGACGGUGCCUGCCUAAGAAGCCCCGGCUAACUACGUGCCAGCAGCCGCGGUAAUACGUAGGGGGCAAGCGUUAUCCGGAUUUACUGGGUGUAAGGGGAGCGUAGACGGCGGUGCAAGUCUGGAGUGAAAGCCCGGGGCUCAACCCUGGGACUGCUCUGGAAACUGUAAAGCUGGAGUGCAGGAGGGGCAGGCGGAAUUCCUGGUGUAGCGGUGAAAUGCGUAGAUAUCAGGAGGAACACCGGCGGCGAAGGCGGCCUACUGGACCGUAACUGACGUUGAGGCUCGAAAGCGUGGGGAGCAAACAGGAUUAGAUACCCUUGUAGUC